GACAUGACUCUCGGCAAUGGAUAUCUCGGCUCUCGCAUCGAUGAAGAGCGCAGCGAAAUGCGAUACGUGGUGCGAAUUGCAGAAUCCCGCGAACCAUCGAGUCUUUGAACGCAAGUUGCGCCUGAGGCCAUCCGGCCAAGGGCACGUCUGCCUGGGCGUCAAGC
rnacentral:rRNA from 3 species